AUGGACGCCGGCGGGGCGCAGCCGCCGGACUCGGAGAUGGCGGAGGCCGGUGCGGGCGCUGCGGCGGCGGCGGGGACGGCGCCGGGCGGCGCGAUGGAUAACAUCCAGGCCACGCUCACCCACGGCGGGAGGUUCAUCCAGUACAACAUCUUCGGCAACGUCUUCGAGGUCACCGCCAAGUACAAGCCCCCCAUCCUCCCCAUCGGCAAGGGCGCCUACGGCAUCGUCUGCUCCGCGCUCAACUCCGAGACGGGGGAGCAGGUGGCCAUCAAGAAGAUCGCCAACGCCUUCGACAACAAGAUCGACGCCAAGCGCACGCUGCGGGAGAUCAAGCUGCUCCGCCACAUGGACCACGAGAAUAUUGUUGCAAUAAGGGAUAUUAUACCUCCUGCACAAAGGACUGCAUUCAAUGAUGUCUAUAUUGCAUAUGAAUUGAUGGACACCGAUCUGCAUCAAAUUAUUCGCUCAAAUCAAGCUUUAUCGGAGGAGCACUGCCAGUAUUUCCUUUAUCAGAUCCUUCGUGGCUUGAAGUACAUACAUUCAGCAAAUGUUCUCCACCGAGACUUGAAGCCUAGCAAUCUUCUUUUGAAUGCAAACUGUGACCUAAAAAUUUGCGAUUUUGGGCUUGCUCGUACCACCUCAGAAACUGAUUUUAUGACCGAGUAUGUUGUGACAAGAUGGUACAGGGCACCAGAGCUUUUGUUGAACUCCUCCGAAUACACUGCAGCAAUUGAUGUGUGGUCUGUGGGCUGUAUAUUUAUGGAACUGAUGGACCGGAAACCGUUGUUUCCAGGAAGAGACCAUGUCCAUCAGCUACGUCUACUAAUGGAGCUCAUUGGAACACCAAAUGAGGCCGAUUUGGAUUUUGUAAAUGAAAAUGCAAGAAGAUAUAUCCGCCAACUUCCCCGUCAUGCAAGGCAAUCAUUAUCUGAGAAGUUUCCACAUGUUCACCCUUCAGCAAUUGACUUGGUUGAAAAGAUGCUGACUUUCGAUCCUAGACAGAGAAUAACAGUUGAAGGCGCACUUGCGCAUCCUUACCUGGCAUCGCUGCAUGAUAUAAGUGAUGAGCCAGUCUGCACGAUGCCCUUCAGCUUUGACUUCGAGCAGCAUGCGUUGUCGGAAGAACAAAUGAAGGAUCUAAUCCACCAGGAGGGCAUCACGUUCAACCCUGAUUACCAGUAG
rnacentral:rRNA from 1 species